UACGUGCCAGCAGCCGCGGUAAUACGUAGGGUGCAAGCGUUAAUCGGAAUUACUGGGCGUAAAGCGUGUGUAGGCGGUUCGGAAAGAAAGAUGUGAAAUCCCAGGGCUCAACCUUGGAACUGCAUUUUUAACUGCCGAGCUAGAGUAUGUCAGAGGGGGGUAGAAUUCCACGUGUAGCAGUGAAAUGCGUAGAUAUGUGGAGGAAUACCGAUGGCGAAGGCAGCCCCCUGGGAUAAUACUGACGCUCAGACACGAAAGCGUGGGGAGCAAACAGGAUUAGAUACCCUGGUAGUCCACGCCCUAAACGAUGUCAACUAGCUGUUGGGGCCGUUAGGCCUUAGUAGCGCAGCUAACGCGUGAAGUUGACCGCCUGGGGAGUACGGUCGCAAGAUUAAAACUCAAAGGAAUUGACGGGGACCCGCACAAGCGGUGGAUGAUGUGGAUUAAUUCGAUGCAACGCGAAAAACCUUACCUACCCUUGACAUGUCUGGAAAGCCGAAGAGAUUUGGCCGUGCUCGCAAGAGAACCGGAACACAGGUGCUGCAUGGCUGUCGUCAGCUCGUGUCGUGAGAUGUUGGGUUAAGUCCCGCAACGAGCGCAACCCUUGUCAUUAGUUGCUACGCAAGAGCACUCUAAUGAGACUGCCGGUGACAAACCGGAGGAAGGUGGGGAUGACGUCAAGUCCUCAUGGCCCUUAUGGGUAGGGCUUCACACGUCAUACAAUGGUCGGGACAGAGGGUCGCCAACCCGCGAGGGGGAGCCAAUCUCAGAAACCCGAUCGUAGUCCGGAUCGCAGUCUGCAACUCGACUGCGUGAAGUCGGAAUCGCUAGUAAUCGCGGAUCAGAAUGUCGCGGUGAAUACGUUCCCGGGUCUUGUACACACCGCCCGUCACACCAUGGGAGUGGGUUUCACCAGAAGUAGGUAGCCUAACCGCAAGGAGGGCGCUUACCACGGUGGGAUUCAUGACUGGGG
rnacentral:rRNA from 1 species